rnacentral:rRNA from 1 species
ACGCUCGACACCUACGGAGGCAGCAGUGAGGAAUAUUGGUCAAUGGGCGCUAGCCUGAACCAGCCAAGUAGCGUGAAGGAUGAAGGCUCUAUGGGUCGUAAACUUCUUUUAUAUAAGAAUAAAGUGCAGUAUGUAUACUGUUUUGUAUGUAUUAUAUGAAUAAGGAUCGGCUAACUCCGUGUCAGCAGCCGCGGUAAUCUGAGCGGGCUGGCAAGGC